UUUAUUUAUAUACUUUUCUGAACAUCAAGGCCAACGUUUAUAACGAUUCGACUUAUUUAUCUUUUAGAUAUCUGAAAAUAAAUGCCUUCGAAGUAUGCAGCUACAUAAACACUACGUCUCGUGCAUACCUUAUGCUCCCGUCUAUCACAACAUGGUAUGUGGUAUACGUACGUUUGCCGUUGUGAAAUCCGCCUCGAAUACACUGGAACCAUCGAUGACCACGGGGAUCCCAAGAGCAAGGCCGUGUUUGGUUAUCGUUUGCCGUACGUAUUCCAUCGAAGGGAAUAUCAAAUAUCUGUCAGGUGUCAACAACAGACGACGGAUAUCUAACCUUUUGAACUUGGAUAGAUAUUUUUGGCUUGGCCGCACUGCACAUUAUGAAUCCGACGUUCGCAACGAUGCCGAUGAGCACUCCGUAUUCCAAUGGAAGAAAUAAGCAUGCGAAAAACGUGAUCAACAUGAGCACCAAAUCUUUUUCUGCGGACAGCAUUAAUUGUGAAAUGUAGUAUAAUACGAUAAUAAUAAUCGACGAGUGAAAAAACGCCAUUCUACUGUGUCAGAAAGCAGCAGUAUCUCUACAUACUUACAGAAUGAUUUACCAAAUUUGCUAACCCCUAAGUUCUAUUUAAUAAUGAAAUUCUUCAAAUUCUGAUUUUUGAAAUUUUUAAAUACACUUACAAAUUAUAUUCUCAAAUUCGUUAUAAUUAUCGCUUCUUUAUUCUUUAAUUUGAAUCACGGUGUGGCGUUAUUUUUGCACAUAAUGGUUAGCGUUUUAUUUUUUUAUAGCUGAUCAACUAUUUUUAAGUAUAUUUUACACUUAUACUAAUAAAGAUGAAUCAAGAACAUUUGUAAGACUUAAAUAAUAUUUGUUUAUUAUCUAUAACUUAAACAGUUAAACCUAAAUAUCACUUACAGAUUAUGUUUUAUGCGUUAUUGAAAUAUUAGUUUUAAUAAGAGGUCGUUAUUACAUAUUUAUAAUGAACUGUCGGGUAACCGUGUUCUUGCCCAAGACGGGGUUAAGGCCUGUGUAUCCAAAUAUUCGUGCGUUGAAUACAACUCAUACAGUUGAGUAAAAUAAAACACUUUUACAAUACAAAAUAGAUUGGUAAAAAGUUAUAAAAAUUAUAUUAUUUAUAUU